GGAUACCGGCCCCGGGGGAGAGGGGGCAGGUACCCCAGGGGAUCGGGCUACUCCUCCAAUAGGUCAUCAGGUACAGUAAUCUACCAUGAUCAGCAGCUGCAAAUUGAAGCUUUUUAUUUUUGGUUUAUAAUUGUUUAUUUUUUAGUUUAAUCCCUUCAUUUUUUAGCUGUAGAAGAUAUCACAUUGUAUGUUAAUUUUUGUUUAUCCUUGUACUAAAUAAGUGUAUUUCAUCUGGUCAACUAAUAUUUUCAUGAGGAGGAAUUUCAUCAUCAUGAUUCAUCAACAUGAUUUUAUUCAUUAGUCAAGCAUCCGAUCAAGAUAUUUUAACACUGACACUUCUUAAAAACAUCUCAUGUAUCUUAACAUUUUCUUCAUUUUCCUAAUGUAUGCUGUACAUUUAUAAUAUCAAAUGGAUUUUAAUUUUUCAGCACAUCCGUAGAAGCUUUGCUUGGGAAUGUUAAUUUGAUUGUAACUGUUGCAUGCCUUUUAUUUUUUGACAGAUUUUUACGAUCAGCGUCGAUAUAGAUCAGAUAGACCCAGUUAUUCCACUAGCAGAUAUAGUACGUGGCAUGCUUCAUUUAUGUCUUGUCUGUUGUCAACUAAAUCAGUCUUUGUUUUAAAAAGGAUACUAAUUCUUAAAUUUUAAAAUGUCAUUCUUGAAUACUAAGUAGAGUUUAGAUGAUGACAUAUAUCAACCCUCAACCUUGUGAUUUCAGUGGCAUACGAUACAGAUGAAUCACGGGACUUUCGUUCGCGGCGGAGGAUGACGGAUGACGACGACACAGUAUUAGACAACGCCAGCGUCACCAGUCAGGACCAAGAUGACCAAAGAGAUCAGAGGCCCAGGAGAAGACGAAAGAAUAGAAACCGUCCCUAUGGUAACGGUAGUGCUGCCUCGGGGACGGAAACAGACAAUAGUGUAUCAAAUUACCGACCCUCAGGGGGCCGACCCCCGCAGUUUCAGAAUGACUCUUCCUCAAACUUUGUGAAUUCAGUGAAAACUGAACCCUCAAAAGUUAAAACUGAGCCUGAAUCCAAACCGCCUGGACCGUCCAAGGAAGAUAACUCUGAUAGAAUUAAUAGUGCAAAAUCUAGCAGCCAGUCAAGUAAACCGAGCCCGAAACCAGGCUCAGCCCCGCCCCGGGAACAGAGGAAACCUGCUGCGCCCAAGUACUCGGCUUCAGCACGGAACGGGACGAGUGGGUCGGAAUCCGACUCCAAAGCGGCUAAAAACAAGAACAAUACCCCUAGUGGUAAACCAACCGCUAGUGGUCAACCAACCGCUAGUAGUAAACCAACCUCUAGUACUAAACCAAAGGAGCAGAUGGUCAACGGAGAGUAACAAAGUGCCAUGGAGAUACUUAUCUGACGAGAUUAGUAGUAUUUUUAGCUCUUACAGUUGAGCAUGCCAUCUACUCGUAUGUACCUUUUUAUCCUCCUUCCACAGGAGAAUGCUUUGUUGCCUAGAUUAACCAGAUGAGACAUUGUUUACAGUUUGUGGUUCCUGUCCUCCUGAUUGGGAGGCCAUGUUUGCUAUGCAAUAUUUGUCCUUUACGUCUACCAAGGGACUUGCUGUCUUGUUAGAUUAAUUCAUGUAGAGAAGAGACAAAAGACUGUUCCGUCACGUAAAUGAUAUUUGUGAGUUAUCCUCUGAACCUGUGGAAUUCCAUAUAUUUUUUUUUAACUCGAAUUAAUUUCUGUCCCAAAGUAUGUGUAUAUGUAUUGUUUUUGCAUAAUAAAUUGUUAAUUCAUAUUUUGUAGAAAUGAUGUGUAAAAUGUUUGAAUUAUUUUUGAAUUGCUAUCAACUUUUAAGAAACGAUGAUACUGUUAUGGUGUUCAUGGAAGUUGUGACUUUUGUGACACUGAAUGAAAGUAAGACUGCUGAUAUUUUACUAUACACAUGAUACAUGUAAAGAUAAUUUUUGUUUUUAUAUUUUAUGUCAGAUCUGUCCAAAAAGAGUAAAAAAAAUUAUUAUUAAAAGUCUUGCACUUUCAUAGUGGCACAGCUGAAAUGAUUAUAAACAUGAUAAACAUUUAUCUUUUUAUGAAAAAUAUAUGGAAUUUCUUUUUGUUUCCAAUUAUGGAUUUUGAAAAACACAUUACACCUUUAUCAUAAAAAGUGAUUAAAAAAAAAACCCUUUCAGCAGUUAGAUGUCAAGCUCUUAAAUCUUGAUUAUGGGUGUCAACAUAUGUACAUGAAUAUGCAUUUAAAGCUGGUGGAGAAAGUGAUUUGAUUCAUAAACUUUUAUUUUUUAAAUUCAAUCUUUUCAGCUUUUCUUGCUUGUUUACACACACAGAUUCAGAAUUGACAAUCAUCUAUAAAUAAUCUUCCUAUUCAAACUAUUUCAAAUUGGGGUCCUAUUUUUGUACAAAGAUGAAUGUUGUGGUACAUUGUGGGUAUAUUUUUACAAAAUGAUAAUGACUGUAACUGCACCGAAUUCUACUCAAACUUGUUUUCUCCAGACACUUAAUGUGUUAGAGAAUAUUUUCCUGAUUGAUGUAUUGAAAUUUGAGGCACAAGAUUUGUGACUUAUAUUAGACAUGUAAUUUUUCAUUUUAUUUUUUUUUACCAUUAAACC
rnacentral:misc_RNA from 1 species